GCUUACGGCCAUACCACCCUGAACACGCCCGAUCUCGUCAGAUCUCGGAAGCUAAGCAGGGUCGGGCCUGGUUAGUACUUGGAUGGGAGACCGCCUGGGAAUACCAGGUGCUGUAAGUU
rnacentral:rRNA from 1 species